GGCACAAGACCCAAUCAGCUUCAGCGAGACCCAGUGAGGCUUCCGCUAGGAAUGUGUGGACGGAGUCUGGCUGGCUUUCCUUUAGAAUUCAAGCCUGAGAUGUGUGGGGAAUGGAGCAAAUGUAACUGUCCUUCUACCAUUUGAAACCUGAGAUUGGAGUCAAAACUAAGGAAUUGCAGCAGAAAGGAAGAAAUUGGGUCCUCUGGUGACUAUUGAGUCAUGAAUCAAAAUAUGCCUAAAGUGAGAACCCACAACCUUUCCACUCACGUGAGCCAGGAAAUUCUGUUUGGGAUGAGUUUUCUAGUAUUUGCAGCAGAAGAAUCCCUACCUGAUGCAGAAAUGACCCACAUUUUCCAGCUGAGGCAAAUAGAGGCCUCAGGAGAUUAGCUAACUUGCCCAAGUUCACACAAAUAACUAAGACAAAAUUUGAAGCCACUUUGUUUCACCUUGAAAAGCUGGUGAGGAAGACAAACUGGAUUUUUAACUGACUGCAAUAUGACAAACAUAUGUGAAAAAAGAAAGACACAAUAGGAAAAUGGAGUGAAAGAAGGGCAGAGAGUGAAGGACAGUGUAAUUGAGGUACAAGUUUCAAUGACAUCUGAAGAUUAUGAAAAUCUGGGGUUUUCCUGGUGCCCCAUCUCUCCCAGUGACUCAGUAAGAUAGGAAAUGAAGGCUAACUCUGAUUACCUAGUUGACUAUUUUAAACUCCAGCCAUUUAUAGAGCACUAAUUAGAAAUCAUUUCAAGCAAAACAUCUGUUCAUUGAUUUGCUGAAACAUCAAUAUUGGCUGUCUAUGAGAAUAAUUUGCAUUUCAUUGCUAAGGAAAAAACAUUAGUACCUGGAAACCAAAGAAAGCAAAUCUAGACCCACGAAGAUCCUCAGUUUUUUUCAGAAGGCAAACCACCAUGAAUUAUUCUAAUUAUUUGACCUUUUCACUCCAGAAUAAUCCAAAGCGAGCACCUGCAAAGGGAGUGGGGUGAAGUAUCGAGUUCAUAGAAGCCCUCAACAGGUUAAGAAACCGAGACGCAGAGAAGUUAAGUAAAUUGCCCAAGUUACACAGCUAGUAAGUGGCAAAGCCAGAACAUAAACUUCCUGCUAUUAUGAAGACACUGCUGAAUCCUGCAAUCCAUGAAUAUCUGUGUUAAGGAAAGUGAGAGAUGGAUUACUCCUGCCAAUAAUAAAGGGGGGAAAACAAAGCUGCUAUUAGAAGAUGAGUCCACCAGGGGGAAGUAGAUGCAUGCAUUACUUAGGCAUGACGCUAGCCCGGGGAAUUUUUUUUAAGACGUUAAAUAUUAAAAGUUUAAUCACCGAUUUUAC
rnacentral:lncRNA from 1 species